AUUGAACGCUGGCGGCAGGCCUAACACAUGCAAGUCGAGCGGAUGAAGGGAGCUUGCUCCUGGAUUCAGCGGCGGACGGGUGAGUAAUGCCUAGGAAUCUGCCUGGUAGUGGGGGAUAACGUCCGGAAACGGGCGCUAAUACCGCAUACGUCCUGAGGGAGAAAGUGGGGGAUCUUCGGACCUCACGCUAUCAGAUGAGCCUAGGUCGGAUUAGCUAGUUGGUGGGGUAAAGGCCUACCAAGGCGACGAUCCGUAACUGGUCUGAGAGGAUGAUCAGUCACACUGGAACUGAGACACGGUCCACACUCCUACGCGAGGCAGCAGUCGAGAAUAUUGGACGAUGGGCGAAAGCCUGAUCCUGCCAUGCCGCGUGUGUCAAGAAGGUCUUCGGAUUGUAAAGCACUUUAAGUUGGGAGGAAGUGCAGUAAGUUAAUACCUUGCUGUUUUGACGUUACCAACAGAAUAAGCACCGGCUAACUUCGUG
rnacentral:rRNA from 1 species